UCAGAGCGGCGGCGCGGGGCCUUCUGAGGAAGCAGAAUUUGCCUCUGGCCUGGGGAGCGGGAAUUUGAGCCAGCUAAGUGACAGGUGAUGGACGACUACAGCAUGAUUGGUGGCUCCCUGUUCAAAAAAGAGACCAACAUCCAGCUCUUUGUGGGGCUCAAGGUGCACCUGUCCACUGGGGAGCUGGGAGUCAUUGACAGCACCUUCGGCCAGAGUGGCAAGUUCAAGAUCCACAUCCCUGCUCCAUUCUUCCCCAUGUGGCUCAAGAUGUGAAUCAUGGCCAGGAAUGAAGGGCAGGAAAGAUGGGCGAAGUCAGAGUGAAGUCACCGCACUGAGUGCUAUCUAUAGGGUUUCAUGUGUGCACCUUGGUAGAACCAAGCUUUGGCUCUGAGCUUCCAGCACCUGUGCAGAGGGAAGCUUCCAGGUUAAGCUAGACUCUGACCUGUUUUGGAUGUGUGUGCUUUUAUCAGUCUGAUGAAGACUAUGUUCUGGCUCCCCAGAAAAUGUGUGUGUGUGCGCAUGGCCUCUCGCUCGCUCUCUCACACACUUUCAUGCAGAUUCCUGCGGUCUGUGGUAGGAAGCCUGUCCACAGUGGUCCACAGAACAAAGCCCACACUGUGCUUAACCCCAGCCCCUGUCCCCUGGCAAACCUUAGGACCUGCCCUGCCUCUAGGUGCAUUGUCUUGCAAAACAGGUCCUUGUAAAAAUUAGGCUUUUUUUCUUUGCAUGUAGCAGUAGGCUUCAUAGUGAGAUGCUGUGGAGAACUUCUCUCUCUCUUUUUAAAACAGCUUUAAUGAAAUAUAAGUCACAUACCGUACAA